UGGCUCAGGAUGAACGCUGGCGGCGUGCUUAACACAUGCAAGUCGAACGAGGGUUGCUGGUUGAAGUUUUCGGAUGGAGACCGGUAAUUCCUAGUGGCGGACGGGUGAGUAACGCGUGGGGAACCUGCCCCGCUCCGGGGGAUACCAGCUGGAAACGGCUGUUAAUACCGCAUAAGCGCACAGUAUCGCAUGAUGCAGUGUGAAAAACUCCGGUGGAAUGGGAUGGCCCCGCGUCUGAUUAGCCAGUUGGCAGGGUAACGGCCUACCAAAGCGACGAUCAGUAGCCGGCCUGAGAGGGCGACCGGCCACAUUGGGACUGAGACACGGCCCAAACUCCUACGGGAGGCAGCAGUGGGGAAUAUUGCACAAUGGGGGAAACCCUGAUGCAGCGACGCCGCGUGAGUGAGGAAGUAUUUCGGUAUGUAAAGCUCUAUCAGCAGGGAAGAAGAUGACGGUACUUGCACAAGAAGCCCCGGCUAACUACGUGCCAGCCGCAGC
rnacentral:rRNA from 1 species